AUGUCAUAUUUUCUGCUGCUUUGCUUUGUGGAUUCCCCAUACGUACCUUGCUUGCAUAUUCACUGCACCUACAUUGGAGCUGGCGAGAUCAUCUACAUUGGAGCUGGCGAGAGCAUCUCAGAUCAUGCAUCCCGUCUGGGUGUCCAGGAGCGAAAGUUGGACGUUAAUGUAUUUGAAACAAUGGAUGUAAGACUAAAACAAUUAGUGGAUAUUUCAACAAUGGAUGUAAGACAGAACCAAUGCGCGGAUCUGUUGAAAGUAUGUACUGUAAGCGCAUCUGUUGUAAUACCUAAUCAGGAACUGGGAUCAGCCCCGGCAGUGUCCAGAAGGGAACCAAUGCGCGGAUCUAUCGGUUUCGCCGUCGGUUUCACCGUCGGUUCCAGUGAGUGA
rnacentral:rRNA from 1 species